rnacentral:rRNA from 1 species
UACGGGGGGGGCAAGCGUUGUUCGGAAUUACUGGGCGUAAAGGGUUCGUAGGUGGCCAACUAAGUCAGACGUGAAAUCCCUCAGCUUAACUGGGGAACUGCGUCUGAUACUGGAUGGCUUGGAUUCGGGAGAGGAAUGCGGAAUUCCAGGUGUAGCGGUGAAAUGCGUAGAUAUCUGGAGGAACACCGGUGGCGAAGGCGGCCUGCUGGGCAGUGGCUGACACUGAGGCGCGACAGCGUGGGGAGCAAACAGG